rnacentral:rRNA from 1 species
ACGGAGGAUCCAAGCGUUAUCCGGAUUUAUUGGGUUUAAAGGGUGCGUAGGCCGGCGUGUAAGUCAGCGGUGAAAAGUUGGUGCUCAACAUUAACCUUGCCGUUGAUACUGCAUGCCUUGAGUGCGGAUAAGGCAGGCGGAACUCGUGGUGUAGCGGUGAAAUGCUUAGAUAUCACGAUGAACCCCGAUUGCGAAGGCAGCCUGCCGGGCCGCAACUGACGCUGAAGCACGAAAGUGUGGUUAUCAAACAGG